rnacentral:rRNA from 1 species
CGACAAGACGGUGGAGGUAUGUGGUUUAAUUCGAUGCAACGCGAAGAACCUUACCUGGUCUUGACAUCCCGGAGACCCUUAGGAAACUAGGGGGUGGCUUCCAUCUGGAAGAAUCUGGAGACAGGUGCUGCAUGGCUGUCGUCAGCUCGUGUCGUGAGAUGUUGGGUUAAGUCCCGCAACGAGCGCAACCCUUGCCUUUAGUUGCCAGCAGUUCGGCUGGGCACUCUAAAGGGACUGCCGGUGUUAAACCGGAGGAAGGUGGGGAUGACGUCAAGUCCUCAUGGCCUUUAUGACCAGGGCUACACACGUACUACAAUGGCCGAUACAAAGGGCAGCGACACUGCGAGGUGAAGCCAAUCCCGUAAAAUCGGUCUCAGUCCGGAUUGGAGUCUGCAACUCGACUCCAUGAAGUUGGAAUCGCUAGUAAUCGUGGAUCAGCAUGCCACGGUGAAUACGUUCCCGGGCCUU